CAAUAAUAUAAUACCGCCAUAUAAAGGGUUAAUCCCCGCACCCCAAUAAUAUAAUACCGGCAUAUAAAGGGUUAAUCCCUGCACCCCAAUAAUAUAAUACCGGCAUAUAAAGGGUUAAUCCCUGCAACCCCCCAAUAAUAUAAUACCGGCAUGUAAAGGGUUAAUCCCCGCACCCCAAUAAUAUAAUACCGGCAUGUAAAGGGUUAAUCCCCGCACCCCAAUAAUAUAAUACCGGCAUAUAAAGGGUUAAUCCCCGCACCCCAAUAAUAUAAUACCGGCAUAUAAAGGGUUAAUCCCCGCACCCCAAUAAUAUAAUACCGGCAUAUAAAGGGUUAAUCCCCGCACCCCAAUAAUAUAAUACCGGCAUAUAAAGGG